ACUAUGAUUGGAAAAUAUAACUA
rnacentral:sRNA from 1 species